rnacentral:rRNA from 1 species
UUUAUGGAGAGUUUGAUCCUGGCUCAGGAUGAACGCUGGCGGCGUGCCUAAUACAUGCAAGUCGAGCGAACGGACGAGAAGCUUGCUUCUCUGAUGUUAGCGGCGGACGGGUGAGUAACACGUGGAUAACCUACCUAUAAGACUGGGAUAACUUCGGGAAACCGGAGCUAAUACCGGAUAAUAUUUUGAACCGCAUGGUUCAAAAGUGAAAGACGGUCUUGCUGUCACUUAUAGAUGGAUCCGCGCUGCAUUAGCUAGUUGGUAAGGUAACGGCUUACCAAGGCAACGAUGCAUAGCCGACCUGAGAGGGUGAUCGGCCACACUGGAACUGAGACACGGUCCAGACUCCUACGGGAGGCAGCAGUAGGGAAUCUUCCGCAAUGGGCGAAAGCCUGACGGAGCAACGCCGCGUGAGUGAUGAAGGUCUUCGGAUCGUAAAACUCUGUUAUUAGGGAAGAACAUAUGUGUAAGUAACUGUGCACAUCUUGACGGUACCUAAUCAGAAAGCCACGGCUAACUACGUGCCAGCAGCCGCGGUAAUACGUAGGUGGCAAGCGUUAUCCGGAAUUAUUGGGCGUAAAGCGCGCGUAGGCGGUUUUUUAAGUCUGAUGUGAAAGCCCACGGCUCAACCGUGGAGGGUCAUUGGAAACUGGAAAACUUGAGUGCAGAAGAGGAAAGUGGAAUUCCAUGUGUAGCGGUGAAAUGCGCAGAGAUAUGGAGGAACACCAGUGGCGAAGGCGACUUUCUGGUCUGUAACUGACGCUGAUGUGCGAAAGCGUGGGGAUCAAACAGGAUUAGAUACCCUGGUAGUCCACGCCGUAAACGAUGAGUGCUAAGUGUUAGGGGGUUUCCGCCCCUUAGUGCUGCAGCUAACGCAUUAAGCACUCCGCCUGGGGAGUACGACCGCAAGGUUGAAACUCAAAGGAAUUGACGGGGACCCGCACAAGCGGUGGAGCAUGUGGUUUAAUUCGAAGCAACGCGAAGAACCUUACCAAAUCUUGACAUCCUUUGACAACUCUAGAGAUAGAGCCUUCCCCUUCGGGGGACAAAGUGACAGGUGGUGCAUGGUUGUCGUCAGCUCGUGUCGUGAGAUGUUGGGUUAAGUCCCGCAACGAGCGCAACCCUUAAGCUUAGUUGCCAUCAUUAAGUUGGGCACUCUAAGUUGACUGCCGGUGACAAACCGGAGGAAGGUGGGGAUGACGUCAAAUCAUCAUGCCCCUUAUGAUUUGGGCUACACACGUGCUACAAUGGACAAUACAAAGGGCAGCGAAACCGCGAGGUCAAGCAAAUCCCAUAAAGUUGUUCUCAGUUCGGAUUGUAGUCUGCAACUCGACUACAUGAAGCUGGAAUCGCUAGUAAUCGUAGAUCAGCAUGCUACGGUGAAUACGUUCCCGGGUCUUGUACACACCGCCCGUCACACCACGAGAGUUUGUAACACCCGAAGCCGGUGGAG